GUGAAUCAUCGAAUUUUUGAACGCACAUUGCGCUCUUUGGUAUUCCGGAGAGUAUGCCUGUUUGAGGGUCAGUUUAAAUAAAAAUCGGUGUGGUUGCUGCCGUUCGUGGUUACGCACCGGAUAUGGGUCGUCUAGCCUUCGGUUAAGUGACCUAAAAUUUUGCAUGAUUUUUUUCGUACGUAUUUAAAUGAUGUUACGUACGUUUGCGAUAAAUAAAACUAAUCGUUGUCCUCCU
rnacentral:misc_RNA from 1 species